AUUUCGGGAUAGGGCCUUUCAUCUUUGGAUUUGAGCAACCGAUUCAGCUCUUCUGUCGAACCUUUUAGACAUGGGGCUAAUUUUUUUUUGUCAGAGAUGUGAAAACUCAAGUAAAAGAUCUUCUCGCUAGCCGGCUGAUCUGAGCCUUUCCACGUGCUUAUCAGUUUCAGAUCAUCUGCUUCAAAGAGAGGCAACUCUUUCUUGCUCAAACUGAAGUAUUUUCAGGCUUUCCACAGAGGCCAGGGUUUCAGCUUGAAAGGGCAGACGCUACCGUGACGGAUCGGGCGAAGCCAUAAAUGAGUUUUCUAGAGUAUUCACGGCAGAUACAUGAGAUGGCACGCUCAGUGGUUGCUUCUGUAAGCAUCCGUCUCUGUUGAUUUUCAGACAUCGGGUGAGUCUCUAGUUUCUGUAGCUUUACUCCUGGCUUUUGAGUUCCUAUCUCUGAAAUUGUUGUUCACAGCACGGGCCGAUUCCGUUAUAUUCCUCCAAUCUGGUCCUUGCUUUGUGAAGAUAAAGUUUGUUUCUGGGUUUCCAUAUGUUCUAGAGAAUUAGGACUUGAACCGAGAUCUUUAUGUCUAGUCCUGGGUCUGUCCACACUGCUUAUAUCCAGUCGCAGAUGUUCAACGGUUUUCGUGUGUUGCUGACAAAGAGAGCAAGUUGGCCCAGGUACGAUAUUCCUUUAGUAGAGAUUUUCUUUGUUAGGCAACGCAUUUUGGCGGACACUCCACAAGAAAAGUCAUUCUUGGAAUUGUCUUGAAGCUCCGCACUACGCUCCAUAAAGCUCGCAGUGUCUGGUAAGAAGACGAAGCCCGAUUAUGUUAAGGCUUAUCUUCUUCCUCUUUGAGUGUAUCGCACCCAGUCUUCACCGUAUAAUGUCACGUCUUGGUACAAGUCCACCCGAUGUUAUCUUCUGCAGUUUCAGUCCUUGAUGAAACAUGAGGAUUUCAUUCAGUCUGUUCGUCAAAUAGACCCUGGACUUGCAAUUCAUGAGCCAUGAUUCUUCUCAAAUUCUAUGGACGCCUCAUACUGAAAUAGAUUUCAUAUUUGUUCAAAUUAAUUGUUUGAUCCAAUGCAAAACAAUACUGAUUUAGAGUAGCUGCUAUGUUCUUACAUUCUCUAAUUUUUCCAUCAAGAAAGAAAAUAGAAUGAUCCACUAA